GACAAUUCAGGUUCGUACGAAGUUCGUUACGAAAUGGAGUGGUUGAUGUAUUGCACAGUUGUACAGAUUGGAUUUCACUCAAAACUCACCAAAUGACUCCUCCCACCCUAUUAUUGUGUCCCCCAAGUUUUGUACUCAAUCCGAUAUCGAUUGGUCCAUGAAAUUGGACAAUUCAGGUUCGUACGAAGUUCGUUCUGAAAUGGAGUGGUUAGUGUAUUGCAUAGUUUUAGCCCUAGGAUUUCACUCAAAAGACAACAAAUGACUUCUCCCGCCGUAUUAGGAUGUUCGCCAAGUUUUGUACUCAAUCCGAUAUCGAUUGGUCCAUGAAAUUGGACAAUUCAUGUUUGUACGAAGUUUGUUAUGAAAUGGAGUGGUUAGUGUAUUGCAUAGUUUUGGCCAUUGGAUUUCACUGAAAAGCCACCAAAUGGCUUUUCCCAUCAUAUUAUGAUGUUCCCCUUG
rnacentral:lncRNA from 1 species